rnacentral:lncRNA from 1 species
AUGUCUAACAUGUGUGAGAUCCAUUUCCAAAACAAGUGUUACUGGGCAUAUCCCUCCUUCAUGUACUACCAUAAGAUAGAAGAACGACACCAGAAGAAGUCAGCUUUAGAACAUACUACAAAGGAACAUUUUGGACCUUAUAUAGGUUUCCUAAACUCCAAUGCAUACUUUUGUGGGAAUGUGCUUCCCAGCUGUACUAGUUUUCUAGGGCUACCGUAUCAAAAAUCCACAGACCUGGUGGAUUAA